ACAAGCCCUGGAAACGGGGUCUAAUACCGGAUACGACUACCGACCGCAUGGUCUGGUGGUGGAAAGCUCCGGCGGUGCAGGAUGAGCCCGCGGCCUAUCAGCUUGUUGGUGGGGUGAUGGCCUACCAAGGCGACGACGGGUAGCCGGCCUGAGAGGGCGACCGGCCACACUGGGACUGAGACACGGCCCAGACUCCUACGGGAGGCAGCAGUGGGGAAUAUUGCACAAUGGGCGAAAGCCUGAUGCAGCGACGCCGCGUGAGGGAUGACGGCCUUCGGGUUGUAAACCUCUUUCAGCAGGGAAGAUGCGAAAGUGACGGUACCUGCAGAAGAAGCACCGGCUAACUACGUGCCASCAGCCGCGGUAAUACGUAGGGUGCGAGCGUUGUCCGGAAUUAUUGGGCGUAAAGAGCUCGUA
rnacentral:rRNA from 1 species